rnacentral:rRNA from 1 species
UAAUGUCUGGGAAACUGCCUGAUGGAGGGGGAUAACUACUGGAAACGGUAGCUAAUACCGCAUAAUGUCGCAAGACCAAAGUGGGGGACCUCGGGCCUCAUGCCAUCAGAUGUGCCCAGAUGGGAUUAGCUAGUAGGUGGGGUAACGGCUCACCUAGGCGACGAUCCCUAGCUGGUCUGAGAGGAUGACCAGCCACACUGGAACUGAGACACGGUCCAG